AAUUUUCCAAAUUUUUUUGGUUUUUCUAUGCCUUAGAUGAAUGCAGACUCAAAAAUAUACACAAUGCAACACACACUUCCUGAGCCCUCCCCCAAACUUAAAUCACACAGUCCACUGUGCGAAUAAACUUGGAAGAGAGUACUCAGGACAAAUCCAAUCACAGAAACAAAAAAAAAUGAAGAAACAAAUCACAACAGAUGGUAUAAUACAAUGGUGAAGUGAGGCGCUUACCUCAGUCGAAGAAUGAACGUAGUUGCUCGUCAAUGGCUGCCUGUGAUUGCUCCCAGGCCAUAGACGAACCACCUUGUUCUGUAUCAGCUCCAGCAGGUGGGUACUCGACCUCAUCAACUCUCUGGCGGCCAGCACCGCUCUGAGGAAACUCGACCUCUCUCCUUCUGCUGCGGCCAGCACCGCGGUCGAGUGAUCUCCUCGAGUGAAUGAGGCGUGAUCUGCUGCUAGAUCGAGUUAGUGUAGCCUUCCUUCUUCUGUUGUGCUCCCGGGAUUUGAAUGACGAAUGCCUACCCUGGACAUGUGGGACUCUCUGCUCGCUAAGCUCAGGCCUGUGCGUAGGUGUGUCAUUAAAUCUUCUCGAUGGCAUCUCCAGAGGAGGCUGUACCUGUGGAAUAGCAGUGGUGGAGGAAGAGCAACUCAGCUUAUCUGUCAGAAGCUUGAAACACUUGGCGAUCAGCUUGUCCUGCUUCUUGCACCACUUCUGCAAUUUACUGUUAUUCUUAUAAGCUUUAGUCAAGCUCUUGCUCUGCCUCGCUGGAGGUACAUGUUCACCCACGUGAUACAUGCUAGUGUCGAACGCCACUGCCCUAUCUUCAUCCAUCCCAUCCGAAGCAGCUUUUUCAAGAAGAUCAUCCUCAUCCAAUGGCGGAGCGUUCUCAUAGUAGAGGCGUCCAACCUCAGGCCUAAAAUCAAUGUUAUCUCCCUCUAUUAUCCGUGUAACCUCAAGGCUAGGGAGAAGGAUGUUAGCUCUCUUGUCUGUAGAGUGCUCAAACUUGAAUCUGUGGAAAUCGUCAACCAUUGCAAACUCCAAGAAUUCGCAGUGACGUAGGUGCUCGAUAUCCAUUGCUCGCGGCUCGAGUCCAGCAGAAAUGAUUGGGACUCCACAAACUAUAAGAAUCGGUGUCACAACGCCACCUAUGCACAGAGCGCCUCGUGCUCUCUUGCGGUUAUUGCUGACAGCCCAGCUCUUGUAUCCACACACAUGGAUCAGAAGAAGUACAGAGAGAGGUGUGUCAUUGAUUUCACCCUGGAGGGACAUACCAUUCUUAGUUUGGCGAAGAGUUCCCUUGAGGGCCAUUGCGAUCAUCUCCAUAUCAGAGUUAGUAACAGUCCCUGUGAUAUGUCAGGAGUAGAGUACAUUGGCUAUAGAACGCUGGCAGUACCUGAUGACAGGGCUGCGUAUCUGAUUGCUCUUUGACCUGGAAGCAUUCAACGGUACAGAGCUGCCAAUGGUGAUCCACAAGUCUUUCAACUCUUCUCUGUCAUACUUGGGCUUAGAUCCCCUUCCACUGGGGAAGCCAAACAAUCCUUCCAAGCGCUUGAUUGAUAACCUAUACUCAUGACCAUACACAGAGAAUUGCAAGAAUCCCAAUCCUUCACAAUCCAACUCAUCAGAGGUCAUACCUUGGUAAAGCUCUACUUGGAGCGUGGAGAGGAAUUGUAUUGUCUCAUCUUCAUACGCUACAUACGGAUAAGCCAUCAGAGUGUCCAGAUGACAACUCUGGUAUAGGUGCUGAACAUCUUCCAAUAAUCCGAGUUGUGCAAGUGAGGUCGAGCAAGGAUACCUCGUGCUACAUAACUCAUUCAGCUUGAAAAGCCUAACAUAUUCCUCAGCAGGUAAUACGUCGGGCUUGUGCAGAAGUUUGGUAGCUCUGCGAGUCUGUUCAGGCAUGUACUCGUCUUCUAGAUCUUCGUCUAUAAGCUCAUACCUCUCUGUCAUCGCUCUUUUCCCUCGGGCUAUCUCAGCUUUCCUUCUGAAGCUUUCAUAUUCUCUCUAGCCUUGAAGAUGACGACUCUGUCUCAUCCAUGUUGUAGUCAGGAUCAACAGAAGAACUGCCACUGUAAUUGCUCAUAAUUCUCCUGUAGAGAUUUAGAACUCAAAGCUCAAAUGUCAAUAGCUUAGUCUCAAAGAUAGCAAUGAAACCAAAAUU
rnacentral:sRNA from 1 species